GGCGUUGUGGGGGCACCACGGAGGCUGCAGCCCCCUGCGCUGGGACCCCCAGAGCUGGGGACACCUCCAAGCCCCAGGUACCCCAUAACCAGCCUCUGCCCACACUCCAGCAGGUCACAUACCCGGUUACUUUAUGCCCUGGGUACCCCAUAUCCCGGGUACCCCAUACCCUGGGUACACCAUAUCGGGGGUACCCCAUAACGGAGGUACCCUAUACCCCCAUUUCCCUAUACCCCAGGCACCCUGUACCCCGAGUGCCUCGUACCCUGAGUACUUCAUACCCCAAGUUUCUCCACACCCCAGGUGCCCCACAAUCUCGUUACCCCACACCCCUAAUUCUCCUACUUCCAUUUGUCCGUAUCCCAGGCACCCUAUAAUCCGUGUACCCCACACUUCAGUCCCCCCAUAUACCAGGUACCCCAUAUUCCAAAUACACCACACCCCAGUUUCUCCAUACCCCACAGUCUGGGUACCCUGUACCCCAAUUACUCCAUCCCCACGCAUCCCAUACGCCAAGUGCCCCACACCCCAGCUUUUCCAGACCCCAGGGACCCCCAACCCAAAUACCCCACAUUGUUUCUCCAUACCCCGUCCCCCCCCUUGCCCUGGGGGAUUCCCUGCCCUGUGGCCCCGGUCCCGCUCACAGAGCGCACGGGGCUCCCCGCACACCCCACAGCCCCCCCAGCUCUGCCCCCAACCCUAGGACAUGGGACUGGGGCACGGGGGGGGGGUCCCUGCAGCGUCCCCCCCCCAAACCAUCCCAGGCACGGGGUGCCUGGACGGCCCCGCUGGACACCCUGCUGCCGUCCCACCCCCUGCCCCCGUAUCCACGGGAAGGCCACCGACCGGCCACCCCGCGCGUCCCUCCCACGUGCCCCUCCGUGCGCUGCGCUUGCAAAACCCGCAGGAUUUCCUGGAAAUUCCCGUUAUUGGAGAAACGAAACCAGGGCCCGAAGGUCCCUCCCAGCGCGCUCGGGUGGGCGCUGGCAGUGCAGGGCGGCACGGGCAGGAUGGAGGGCUGCUGCCUGCGCUGCCGCCUCUGGCACAGGCAGUCCUGGAGGAUGUGCGUGGCCCUGGCCAUCGGGGUGGCCGUGGUGGUCCUGGUGACAGCCCUCCCCUCCUCGGGGGAGCCACCGAGGGGCUUGGAGGGGCUGGAGCAGCUGGGGACGGCGCAGCGGGAGCUGCAGGCGCAGGUGGCCGCGCUGGGGCAGGCGCUGGCCGUCACCAACCGGUCCCUCGCCGAGGCGCUGGCCGUCACCAACCGGUCCCUCGCUGAGGCGCUGGCCGUCACCAGCAGGUCCCUCACCGAGGUGCGGGGGCAGUGGGAGAGCUGCAGAAACGAGCUGGACGCGCUGAAGAGCACCGUCUCGGAGCUGACACAGCGUUUAGCCCAGCUGCAGCACCACAGGGACGAGCAGGAGGCCAACGUGGUGCAGCUGCAAGGUGAGCACCGGGGACACCCCGUUCCCUGCCCCCUGGGACACCUUGGUUCCUGCCCCCCGCCAGCCACCCUGCUCCCUGACCCCCAC
rnacentral:lncRNA from 1 species